rnacentral:misc_RNA from 1 species
CACGCCUUUCCCCAUUGCGAAAGCGUCGUCUCUGCCGUGUAUGGCCGUGGGAUCAGCGUCGGCGGCCAGCAGCAGCCUGGAAAACCAGUGAAGCGUCGGAUGCGGAGGCCCGUCCGGCGGCCGGAGCAGUGCGUGUGGCAGUGUGUGGCAGUGCGAGCAAUCGUCGCUAGUGGGGCCGCAGCGUGCGCGAUGUGAGCGCGCAAAGCUGGCCAAGCCCCGGUCGCGCAGCUGGACGGACUGCCUGGUGUCCGGCCCGUGGCCGGCGCCACCGCCGCCUCCGCAGCGCUCGGUGUCGUCGCUGCUCUCGGCGACCGGCGGCGGAAGAGGCCUCACCGCCGCUGGCUCCUGGUACGGCUCGUUCGGCUCGCACGUCGCGCCCAUGGACCUGGGCCCGAGCCUCGCCGAGUGGACGCGCGAGCAGCCGCUCAGCAUCCUGCAGUUGGACCCGGCCGAUCGGGCCGUACUCCGCAUCGCCGACGAGCGAGACGCGAUCCAGAAGAAGACCUUCACCAAGUGGGUCAACAAGCAUCUGAUCAAGGCCAACAAGCGCGUGGAUGACUUGUUCGUCGACCUCCAGGAUGGCCACAGCCUGCUCUCGCUGCUGGAGGUCCUCUCUGGGGAGACGCUGCCCCGCGAGAAGGGCCGCAUGCGGUUCCACAUGCUGCAGAACGUGCAGACGGCGCUCAACUUCCUUCGCUACCGCAAGGUCAAGCUGGUCAACAUCCGCGCCGAGGACAUCGUUGACGGGAACCCCAAGCUCACGCUGGGACUCAUCUGGACCAUCAUCCUGCACUUCCAGAUCUCGGACAUCACAUUCACCCAGAACAACGAGAACCUAACUGCAAAGGACGCUCUCCUUCGCUGGGCUCAGCGAACUACCGACAGAUAUCCAGGCGUCAAGGUGCGGGACUUCACCACCAGCUGGCGUGAUGGAUUGGCCUUCAAUGCAAUCAUUCACCGAAACCGACCCGAUCUCGUGGACUUCCGUUCGUGCCGGACACGAACAGUCCGUGAGAACCUUGAGGUGGCCUUCUCAGUGGCUGAGCGAGAGCUCGGUGUCACGAGGCUGCUGGACCCCGAAGAUGUGGACACCCCCCAGCCUGACGAAAAGUCCCUCAUCACAUACAUCUCCUCGCUGUAUGACGUGUUCCCUGAGCCAGCGAGUCACCACCCGUUUGCGGAAGACGAGAAGCUGCGCAAGGCAGAAGAGUACCGGGACCUCUCGAGCAACCUCCACACGUGGCUGCGCCAGAGUACGGCAUUGUUGCAGAGCCGCAGCUUCCCACCCACGCUCUCUGAGGUGAAGCAGGUGCAGACGGAGAAUGCGCGCUUCCGCCAAGAGGAGGUGCCCCCACGGCUGCAGGACAAGCAGCGGCUGACCAAGCUGUGGCGCGACGAAGUGCACUCAUUGGUGCGGGAGCAGCGGCUGCACGUGGAUGCUGAGCUCACACCCGACAACCUCGAGGCAUCCUGGCAGCGCAUGCUGGCCGCACAUGCUGAUCGGGAGCGGGCUCUGCGGGAUGAAGCAACGCGGCUCGAGAAGCUGCAGAGGCUUGCUGAAAAGGUUCACCGUGAAGCCAAGAACUGCGAUGCCCGCCUGGACGAUGUGGAGCGACGCAUAUCGGACGAGGAGCCACGGCUUGGGCGGCUGCACCCGGCCGACGCCAAGCGCGUCUGCGACCAGGUGGACCGCGACUUGCGCCAUAUUGAGGACACCCUCAAGGCUCUCUUCCGAGAUGUGCAGCUGCUUUUCGACGGCCGUUAUCACCGAGCUUCAGAGCUGCACAAGCUGGUCCAGAAAUUGCACCAGCGCUGGUCCGACCUCCGGCUGGCAUACCAGCAGCGGCUGCUGGCGCCGCUCUCGAGCAAGCAGUACAAGCUUGAGGAGCGCAAGGUGACCAAGCAGCGGCAGGUGAUCUCUGAGAGCCGGCUGGUUGAGACGCACGAGUACCUCAAGUUCUUGCAGAGCUGCCUCGACUGGGUGCAGGAGAAGCUGCGACAGCUGGAGACCGUCGAGUGGGGCUGUGAGGUGCCUGCUGUGCAGUCAACCCUGGACCGGCACCAGGCCGACCACCGCCUCAUCGACCAGUUCCAGAAAAAUGUGGACAUGUGCAUCUCGAGGCAGGGACACUUUGAAGAAGGCAGUGAGGAGCGUGCGCAGUACCAGAAGCAGCUGGCGCAGCUGGAGCGCGACUACUCUGAGCUGCUGGUGCUGUCCAACAAGCGACUGAGCGACCUGGAUGCACUGCUCGAGUUUGCCCAGUCGGCAGCAGCCGAGCUGCGCUGGCUGCAGGAGCGGCAGCAGCCAGAGAUCAUGCGUGACUGGAGCAGCCCUACUCUGAACUUGGUCGAGCUUGAGCACCAUCAAGGGACGCUGACAGCCGAGGUUGAGGCACGCGAGUCAGCCUUCAAUGCGACACUGGACCAGGGGUCGUCCCUCGUGCGCCAGCAGCACCCGGCCGCGCGUGCCAUCGAGGCCCAGCUUAGCGCACUGCAGGCACAGUGGGCUUGGCUGCUCGAGCUGCUGCGUGCCCUCGAGGCCCACCUGCGACACGCCGCGCACUACCACCAGUUCUUCAAUGAGGCUCGCGAAUGCGAGCAGUGGUUGCAGCGCGGAGAGGAGAGACUCAACACGACUUUCAGCCGACCCAGCUUCUCGCUGGAAGAAGGCGAGCGGCUGCUGCAGCAGAUGCAGGAACUGCGCGAGGACUUGGCACGCUACGCGGGCAUUGUGAACGCGUUGCUCGAGCGCUCUCGCCAGGUGCUGCCCCUCAAGCAGCGCCGUGCGCCAUUGCCCCGUGCUCUGCGGGUCACUGCUGUGUGCAGCUACAGCCAGCUGAAGAUGACGGUGGCUCGUGGUGAGCAGUGCUGGCUGCAUGACAACACCCAACGGGACCGAUGGAAGGUGGCCAAUGCCAAGGGACACGAGGGCCAGGUGCCGGGUGUCUGCUUCAUGAUCCCACCUCCUAACCCAGAGGCUAUUGAGCUGGCCGAGAGCCUCAAACGCAAAUACGACCUCGUGGUGAAGCUGUGGACGAAGAAACAGCACAAGCUGCGGCUCAACAUGAUAUUUGCCACCAUCAAGAUUGUCAAGGCCUGGGACCUCAAGACGUUCCGGGCUAUGGAGCCAAACCAGCGCGAGUCGAUCAUUCGUGCGCUCAACGAAGAUGCCGAGAAGCUGCUUGCUGAAGGCGACCCAACCGACCCCGACAUGCGACGUCUUCGCGAGGAAAUUCGUCUCUGCAACAAGUUGUUCGAAGAUCUGAUGGCCAAGCUCCGUGAGGAGGAAGCUGAGAAGUCGCCCGAGAGCCCCAGUCGCCGCUUCGCAGACCUCUCAGCUCGGCUGGAGAAACUGCUGCAGGAGAAGGAGCGCACACUGAACUCGCGGGUGCAGGCACACAUCCCACGAGACAUCGACAGCCUCGAUGCCCUCGUGGUGCAGCACAAGGAGUUUGAAGAAGGCCUGCAGGAUCUGGAGCCACAGGUGGCCGAGAUGCGGGUGGCCUUCAAGCAGAUGACCAAAAAGACGCCGACGACCCAGGAUCGGCACGAUGGGGUGGUGCGCCUCUGGGAUCGCAUCUGGAAUCUCUCUCACCUAUAUGUGGAGCGACUCAAGGCUGUGGAGAUAGCUAACCAUGGCCUUUCAGAGGCAACAACAUUUGUUUCGUCCGUCGAAGAACAGCUUGCCGCACAGGGUCCAAUGCCUGAAGAGCAGAGUGCUCUGAGGCAGGUGCACGAAGAUCUGGUAGCACUUCAGUUGGAGCUCCAGCAGCAGCAACCUCAGCUGGACCGGCUCGCUGAAGAUGUAGCCAGUGUUCGAAAGGUGACGGAGCGCUCCCGCCCCAGUGCCUAUUCACAUCCAGAUGUCCGCAAACUGGAGGAUGACCUGCGCAAGGUUGUGCGCCGUUGGGACAAUGCAGCCAACCAGCUGGCUGAACGGCUGCGCAGCUGUGAGGCAGCCUCGGAGCUGCUGCGUGCCUACCGGAACAAGAUGGAUGAAGAGAGGAACUGGGCCAGCCAGGCGACAGUGCGGGUGAAUGCGGUGAAGACGGCUCGCCCCUCCGUGGAUCGGCAGCAGGCUCUGGCGGCAGCGCAGGAACGAUGCAAGACCUGUGAUGAAGAAAUUGCCCAGCUGUCCCAGUGGAUCGAAGACAUUGAGCUGCGACUUGCCAACCUUGGGGCUGUCUCGGAGGACUCGGAGAGCUUGCGACAGCAGCUGGCAAUUGCCAAGUCCCUGCGUGAGGAGCUGGAGCUGAAGCAGCCGCGAGUGCUGUCGUUGUUUGACGAGGUCCGGCAGCUGUCCUCCAACGAGCUGCUUUCGCGUGAUGAAACUGAUGCCCUGCAGCGGCCCCUGGCCCAAUGUCGGGGACGCCUCGAGCUCUGCCAGGAGCGCAGUGAGCGUCUAGCACGACGCCUGACUGCCGCUCUCGAGGAGCUGCUCAAGUACACAGGGGAGAUGCAAGUCUUCAGGACAUGGCUUGACAAUGCCCGCAAGGUCUUAGCCAGGCAUGAGGAACUGUUGGACGACAUCCGGAACGUGGCUGACAAUGCUGACCACUACAGAGCAUUUUCUAGUGAUGUAAUUGCCCACCAAGCAGACCUUCGUUUCAUCACCAUGGCUGCUCAGCGGUUUGUGGAUGAAUCUAAGGAAUAUCUCCGCAUGCUGAAUGACCACCGCACAAGCCUGCCACAGAGGCUGAGCCAUUUGGAGCCCUCGGAGAGCGAGGUUCGCGCUGAGGUGUCUCAUGUGAGCACCGAAUACCAGAACCUGCUGAGCCGUGUGAACAAGCUCGGGGACCAGUUUUCGGGCCUGACAGAACGCAAGCGUGCCUACCACGAGGCCAUGGAGAGGGCCACGGCUUGGCUAAAUGAGGCACAGCGCAGUGCCAAGCGGCUGCUUGAGGAGCCAACAGCAGCUGAGCCACCUGCAAUCCAGGAACAACUGGAACGUGUGCGGGCCUUCCACCUUGAGGCUGUCGGCCAGGGGCGGCUGAUCGAGACGGCGAAGCAGGCAGCGCAGGCGCUGCCACCGUCUGGUGGGCCUGCCGUCGAGGAGGCUGUACGCAACCUGGAGGAGGUGUACCAGCAGAUGCUGUCGCUUGUAGGCGAGCGUAGCAAGCAGCUGCAGACUGCACUUGUGCAGUCGCAGGACAUUGCAGAUGGUCUGGACCGUGUGCUGCGGCUUCUUGAUGAGCUGGAGGCCACCCAACGCGGCCAAAGCGCCAAGCUUGCCAGCUUGAUGAGGGAUCGUCUUGAUGAGCAGAUUCACGAACACCGUGUGCUUCGGUCAGAAAUCGAUGGCCAGCGUCCAUUUAUUGACGCUCUCAAUGCUUCAGCUCGGGAGCUGCCUGGCAAUGCUCGCUUGGCCAAGAAGGUAGAGGCCAAGCUCAAAGACAUCAAUAGCCGCUACGAGAAAGUACUUGACAAGUCAUCAAGGAGGGGCGAAUUGCUUGACGAGGUGUCGAGCUGCCUGGACCAAUUCACUGGCAUGGCGAACCGCUUUGAAGAGUGGCUUGCCAGUGUGCUGCAAGCUGUGGAGGGCGAAGAGCAGCCGCGCCUCGAGCACGCCAUGAAUCAGCGCAACCUGCGCAAGGACGAGUUUGAGGACUUGCUGCGUGCGGGACGUGCCUUGUGUGCUAAACGCGAUGUCACCGAUACUGGGCCUGUGCGUGACAAGGUGAAGCAGCUGGAGCAACAAUGGAAAGAGCUUGGUGAAGUGCUGUCUGAGCGGGAGAGGCAGGGACGGCAACGUGCUGAGCAAGGGGCAGCGUACGAGACACUGCGACAGCAAGUGUUGACUUGGCUGCAGACAACUGAGGGACGCCUCGACACACUCGGUUCCCUGGCCCUGGACCGAGACAUCCUGCGCCGACAGGCUGCUGAGAUCAAGCCUCUGGUGAAGGAGCAUGCCGAGUACGCAUCCACCAUGGACCGUGUCAACGAGUUGGGUCGCAGCUAUGACGCGCUGCGGGUGGACAGCCGCUCACGCCCACCUGCCCGCAAGGGAGGCAGCCCCCACAAGGAACCCUAUGCCAAUGGCGGCAGCACUCACGAGUCAUCACCCGAAGGAAGGGCACUGCAGAGUCCACAGUCCAGUGCCUCCAGUGGUUUUAGCAGUAGGCACAGCUCGAUCGACCAGUUUGGGCCCCUCGAGGACCUGAGCCCCGUGCAACAGCAACUGUCCGAGAUGAACCACCGUUACCACCUGCUCGGUGUGCGUCUCUCGGACCGGCAGCAGGAGGCGGACUCGCUAUCCGAGGAGCUGCGGAUGUGCACCGAGGCCAUUCGCACGCUGCUAACCUUUGUCAAGAGCCGUAGCGUGCCCCGUGACUUGCCGGCCAGCCAGGAGCUGGCCCACCAACAGCUGUCACAGCUGCGCGAGCUGCAGACAGAGCUGCAAGAGAAGCAACUUGAGGUGGACCGGGCACGCCUUCAGGCCCAGGAGCUCCUGCGGCGCCGGCCACAAGCACCCGGAGCCGACGCCCUUCAGGCACAGCUGGAUGAGCUGCUCAGCCGCUGGCAAGGGCUGCAGGGGGCAUUGCGCUCGCGCCUCCUCCUGAUACAGUUGCUGAAGGAGUUCCAGGAUACCCACGAUCUUCUGCACAACUGGCUCAUCCAGAAGGACAAGAUGUUCCAGGUGUUGGGUCCAAUUGCGACUGAGCCACGCCUGGUGGCUGCCCAGACGCAGCAGGUGCUGUGCAUGCGUGACGAGCUGACCUCUCAGGAGCCCCUGCUUCGCCGCUUCACAACCUGCGCACAGGAACUUCUGGACCAGCUAGACGACAAGGAUGGUCCGACUGCAAGACGCCUUCGUGAACAGCUGGAUGGCAUAAAACGCCACUGGGCUGAGAUGGUGUCAAGGCUGGAGGAGCGGGAGCGUGCACUGGGGGCAGCCACUGGAGCCUCAGCUGAGUUCCAAGCAGCUCUGGCCCGGCUCUUGGACAGUUUGCAGGGUGUUGGUGAUGACUUCGAACGCCUCUCUGAGGCUGGAGAUUGCGAAGCCCAGCUUCGUCGCCUGGCAGCCCUGGAAGAACGCCUGGAUGCCCAGCGACCACCACUGGCUGAAGCCGAAGCCCGAGCUGAGAACCUCUGUGAGCUUCUGUCAGAUGCAGCGUCACGCUCUGAGGUCAGGGCCCGCUUGGGAAGUGCCCAGAAGCUCUACAAUGGCCUCAGUCGCAAGAUCAACAACCGCAAGGCUGAAUUGGAAUCGUCCUUGAAGGAGGACAGAGGCUUCUUCUCGAACUGUGACAGCAUUCAGGAGUGGCUUCGUGGCAUCCAGCUCAGCCUUGCUCCCGACCUGAAGAUCUCGGCCGACACUGACAUUCUGCACCAGCAAGUCACCGAGUUUGAGCCAGCGUACAAGAGCCUGCUGGACAAGGAACACGAGGUGCACCUGGUGCUGAGUAAGGGGGCCGACAUGGUCACCCGCAUAAGCCGCAAGCAGGAGGCCCAACAGCUGCGCACGCGCCUCGACGGCCUGCGCCGCGGAUGGGAUCAGCUCCGCAAGGAGGCCACUGACAGGCAUACACGACUGCAGCGGGCAUUCGAGAACUGCAAGAAGUUCAACGCUGCCUUCAACAAGUUCGGACCCUGGCUGCAGUCGGCUGAAGGCCGCUUGUCUACUCUGACCCUGGCCAACUACCAGCGUGCUGAGGUGGAGAGGCAGGCCAAGGAGCUUCAGACCUUCAAAAAUGAUCUGUCAAGACACAGCCAGGAGUAUGACAGUGUGCGCAACCUUGGUGAAACAUUCCUCGCGGGCUGCGACGUGGACAAGGAAGGCGUCAAGAAGGACUUGGACACACUCCGCACGCGGUGGGAGAAACUAAACCACGGUGUGUCUGAGAGGAGCCGUCAGCUGGAUGAGGUUUCAAGCAAGCUGUGCGAGUUCCAGGAGAAGGCUGGCGAAUUGGGACAUGGCCUGCAGCGACUCGAGGACAAGCUUGCAUCCCAUGACGCUCUGGGUGAGGCAGCACGCAACCCGCGCCUUCUUGACCGGCUGCAAGGCAUGGCGCGCGAGACCGAUGAGCUGCGCCGUGGCCUCGACCGACUGCGUGCAUUCACCGACACUUGGCUGGCCUCGGCCUCACCAGAGUGCGACACCUCGCAUGUGCGCGGUCAGCUCGAUGCUCUGGUGCGUCGCCACCAGCAGCUGGCACACGACCUGCAGGACCGUUGUGGACAGCUCGAAGCAGCUGGAACGGUGGUGGCCCAGUACCACGCAAAGGUAAAGACAGCCCAGCAAGACUUGAGUAACCUGGAAGAAGAGUUGGAAAGCAUGGGCCCCAUUGGGCGGGACGUCAAGACAGUCCGAAGCCAGAUCGAUCAAGUGAAGAGUUUCCAAGGGCGCCUCUCGUCUGCUACCCACGAGGUUGACAAGGCGGAGCAGGAGUGCCAGGAGCUGAUUUCUCAGGGAUACACUCAGGACGCCAAGGGUGCCCGUGCUCAGGUGGAGACACUGCGCAGGCAGCUCAACAGGCUGGAAGAGCGGGCGCGUAGCCGCCACAGCUCACUGGAGGCCAUGCUGGCCAAACUCGAGAAGUUCUACGAGGACCUGCACACGACCCAGAGGCGUGUUGGGGGUGCUUUGGGUGAGGAGCACACGUUCCGGCCUGUGGCAGCUGAUGUGGAGAGCUUGCGCAGUCAGCAGGAGCAGUUCAAGCAAUUCCGCAAGUCUCACGUGGAGCCACUGGGUCGUGAAGUUGACAAUGUGAAUCGGGCUGGCAACGCGCUCAUACAGUCAGCAUCGCCAGGUGUCAACACGACUCUUCUGGAACGAGACAUUGACAAACUCAACGACGAGUGGAACCAGUUGAAGGAGAAGGUUGGAGAGCGUGAGCGUCUGCUUGAGGCAGCGCUGCUGCAGUCGGGCAAGUUCCAGGAGGCCCUGGCCGGCGUGGCACGCUGGCUGGAAGACACGGAGGAGCUGGUGGCCAAUCAGCGGGCUCCGUCGGCUGACUACAAGGUGCUCAAGGCACAGCUGCAGGAGCAGAAGUUCCUCAACAAGCUACUGCUCGACCGGCAGGGCAGCAUGAACUCGCUGCAGGCCAUGGGCACCGAGGUCAUGCGGCACCUGUCGUCAGCCGACAAGGCCCAUGUUCAGGCACAGUUGCAUGAUCUGAGCCAGCGAUUCGACCGGCUAAUGCGAGGUGCACAAGAACGCACGGCAGCCCUGGAGAGAACACUGCCCGUGGCUCGAUCGUUCCAGGAGCAGCUGUCACCGCUUGUCGAGUGGCUGGAGCAAACAGAACGACGGCUCACGGCCAUGUCCACCUUGCCAACAGAUGCUGACCGUCUUACACAGCGGGCACAAGAACACCGCGAACUUCAUCGUGACGUGUUGGGGCACAAGCGAGCCUUUGAGGCACUCACUGAGACAGCUCAGCAGCUUAUGUCUCUGGUGGGUGACGACGAGGCUCAGGCUGUGGUUGACUCGCUCCAAGAACUGACGGAUCGUUAUGCUCGCCUCGUCGGGGACAGCGAGCGUCUGGAGCAGCUUUUGACAGAGGCACGUGCGGGCGCUGGCGCCUUUGCACUUGCCUUCGAGGACUUGCUUGUCUGGAUAGGAGAGAUGGAGUCACGCCUUGCACGCUACCAAGUGCUCAGCGUCUACGUUGAGAAGUUGCAGGAGCAGUUCGACGAGCUGAAUGAGCUGAGUGAGGAGGUGUCUGAUCACCAGAAGCAAGUUGAUGAGCUGAGUGGGUCCGGGCAGGAGUUGAUGCGGCAUGCAUCGGGCAACGAUGCCAUCCAGCUCAAAGACCGGCUGGAUUCUCUACAGCUUCGUUACACAGACCUGGCACAGCGUGCAGCAGAGCGCCUGCGACAGGCCCGUGAGGCCCUGCCCGUAGCACAAAGCUUCCACACUGCCCAUGAACGUCUCACUCGGUGGAUGGAUGAUGCUGAAGCUCAGGUGCGGUCCUUGGAGUCCGCUGCCCUUACUGCCCAAGAGAGCACCAUGCAGCGCCUUGAGCAGGAGCUGCAAGAGAUGCGUGGCGUGUUGGAAGUUGUGAACCAUCUGGGCCCACAGCUGUGCCAGCGGUCACCUGGAGAGGGUGCAGGUGUAGUGGAAGCCAUGGUGUCUCGUGCCAACCGCCGCUUCGACGCCAUCUGCGAACAGAUCCAGCGGCGUGCCGAGCGCCUUGAGCUUUCGCGCCAGCGCAGCCUUGAAGUGACUGGCGACCUAGAGGACCUGCUUGACUGGUUCCACGAGGUGGAGCGCCAACUGGCUGACGCUCAGCCCAUUGUGGCCGAACCAGACACUCUGGCUGCCAUGCUUCGGGAGCAGAAGGCACUGAGUGAAGAGGUGAGCAGCCAGAAGGGCCGUGUGCGGGACGUCUUGUCAGCAGCCAAGAAGGUGGCACGGGAAUGGCCAGCUGAAGACCAGGCAGCCGUGCGGGACCGAGCAGAAGAGCUGCGAGCGCUGUCGACCCGUGUCGCCGAGGCAUGUGCUGAGCGGCUGGCAGCACUGGAACAGGCACUGCCACUGGCAGAGCACCUGCUUGAGGCCCACAGCGAGCUGGUUGCCUGGCUGGAUGAGGCCGAGUCCGAGGCUGAAAGACUUGCCGCCCCUGCAGGCCCACAUCCGGCGCACAUCCAGAGGCAGCAGGAGCGUAACCGUGCCCUGCUGCAAGCGCUGGCCGAGCACAAGCCACUGCUUGACCGGCUCAACAAGGCGGGCACAGCACUUGCAAAACUGUGCCGGCCACCCGAUGCUCAAAAGGUGCAGCGGUUGCUCAGCUCAGACAAUGAGCGCUACAACGCACUUCGAAAGCUACUGCGUGACCAGCAGAAUCUCCUUGAGGAGGCCAUGCAGUCCACCUCCCAGUUUGCUGACAAGUUGGACGGCAUGCUGAGUGCGCUGGCUUCAACGGCAGACCAGCUGAACAAUGCGGAACCCAUCUCUGCACACCCCGAGCGCAUUCAGGAGCAGAUCAGUGACAACCAGGCCGUGGUGAGCGACCUGGGCAAGAAGUCGCCCGCCUUGGAGGCUGUGCAGAAGGCUGCUCGCGAGGUCAUUGCCAAGGCUGGUGGAGACCAGGAGCCUAGCGUACGAGACAUCCGGCAAAAGCUGGAGCGACUCAAUGGCCUGUGGGAGGCAGUCCAGCAGGCAGCGCGCACGCGAGGCCAGUCGCUGGAGAGUGCACUGGCUGUCGCAGAGCGCUUCUGGGAGGAGCUGAACGCAGUCAUGCGGGCGCUUCGUGACCUCCAGGAGAACUUGGACAGCCAGGAGCCACCAGCCGUCGAGCCGCAGGCCAUCCACCAGCAACAGGAGGUGCUGCACGAGAUCAAGCAGGAGAUGGAACAGACACGGCCCGAAGUGGACCAGUGCCGCCAGGCAGGUCAAGACCUUAUGCAGUUGUGCGGGGAGCCCGACCGACCAGAAGUCAAGCGCCACAUUGAGGACCUGGACUCGGCCUGGGAGAAUGUGACCACCCUGUAUGCCAAGCGAGAGCAAAACCUCAUUGAUGCCCUGGACAAGGCCAUGGGCUUCCACGACACCCUUCAGAGCCUGCUCGAGUUCUUGGACACAGCUGAGCAGAAGUAUGCAAACCUCGGACCUGUGGCAGCUGACAUUGAUGCUGUCAAAGCACAGAUUGGACAGCUCAGGGACUUCAAACGAGAGGUGGACCCACACAUGGUAGAGGUGGAGUCGCUGAAUCGGCAGGCCAAAGAGCUUUCAGAGCAGACGUCCUCCGAGCAGGCACGUGCAUUGCGGCAGCCCCUUGACGAAAUCAACCGGCGCUGGACAGCACUGCUCCGUGGCCUGGUGGAUAGGCAGCGUGAGCUUGAGAAUGCGCUGCUACGACUGGGCCAGUUCCAGCAUGCGCUAGGAGAGCUGCUGGUAUGGAUGGCACGCACUGAGCGUGCUCUCGACGAGUGCCGACCCGUAGCCGGCGAUGCCCAAGUCAUUGAGGUCGAGCUGGCCAAGCACAAGGUGCUAAUGAAUGACAUCCAAGCACACCAAAGCAGUGUGGACACGCUGAACCGGGCUGGUCAUCAGUUGAUUGAAGCAGACCGGCACAGCGAGGACGCCAGUGUGACGCAGACGAAGCUGGCCGACCUCAACCGGCGUUGGAAGGCACUGCAGGACAAGGCAGCUCAACGCCAGCAACAGUUGGAAGCUGCCCUGCGAGAGGCUCAGGCCUUCAACCAGGAGAUACAAGACCUACUGAUGUGGCUGAGUGACAUUGACGGUCAGCUAGCAUCAUCCAAGCCUGUUGGUGGGCUACCAGAAACAGCAAGGGAACAACUCAACCGUUUCAUGGAGCUUUACAAUGAAUUGGACAGCAACAGACAUCGGGUCGAGUCGGUGCUGCAGCAAGGACAAGAGUACACACGUGCAGCCGAGGGCUCAACUGGGCUGCAGCAUAGCUUGCGCACCCUCAAACAGCGAUGGGACAAUGUCCUCAACAGGGCCAAUGACCGGAAGAUCAAACUGGAGAUUGCACUCAAGGAAGCUACAGAGUUCCACGAAUCGCUUCAGGAGUUUGUGGAAUGGCUCACACAUGCGGAGAAGUCUUUGGCAAGCCUGCGACCUGUGAGCAGAGUCUUGGAGAAUGUGCUAAGCCAGAUUGAAGAGCAUAAGAGCUUCCAGAAGGAUGUGGGCGCCCACCGGGAAACGAUGCUGCAGCUGGACAAGAAGGGCACGCACCUCAAGUACUUCAGCCAGAAGCAGGACGUGAUUCUCAUCAAAAACCUGCUCAUCUCGGUGCAACAUCGCUGGGAGCGCGUCGUCUCCAAGGCAGCAGAACGCACUCGCGCUCUUGACCAUGGUUACAAAGAGGCCAAGGAGUUCCAUGACGCGUGGACAGAACUCGACCGAUGGUUGACAGAGGCGGACCAGAGCCUUGACGAGCAGCCGCCGGCUGGCAAUGACCCCGAGAAGAUUCGCCGCCUGCUGGCGCGGCACCGGGAGUUCCAGCGCACCCUGGGGGCCAAGCAGCCGGCGUACGAUGCCUGCUUGCGCCAGGGGCGGCUCUUGCGCGAGCGCUGCCCCAAGGCUGAUCAGCCGGUGCUGCAGCGCAUGAGCGACGAGCUCAAGGCCAAGUGGAACGCCCUUUGCAACAAGUCGGUGGACAGGCAACGCAAGUUGGAGGAAGCGCUGCUCUUCUCGGGCCAGUUCAAGGAUGCAGUGCAGGCGCUCAUCGACUGGCUGGACCGCGCCCUGACCUCCCUGCAAGCAGACCAGCUGCUGCACGGAGACCUCGACACGGUCAACAACCUCGUCGAACAGCACCGAAGCUUCCAAACGGAGCUGAAAAGCCGCUCGGCCAACCUGGAGUCAGUGCAGCGCACGGCCAGCGAGCUGCUCAAGACGGCCAGUGCCGACGAUGCGGCCAGCAUCCGCAGCCAGAUGUCAUCGCUCGAGUCUAAGUGGGAAGCUGUUUCCAAGCUCUCUGAGACUAAGCAGCGCAAGCUCGAAGAGGCUCUCCGCCAGGCAGAGCAGCUGCACAAGGCAGUGCACAUGCUGCUGGAGUGGCUGUCAGACGCAGAAAUGAAGCUGCGCUUUGCGGGUCCGCUGCCUGAGGACGAAGCCACAACACGGCAACAGAUGGAGGAGCACCAGCAGUUUAUGCGCGAGAUGGAGCAGCAGGAGCACAACAAGGAGAGCACGAUAGCGCUAGCCCAGGAGAUUCUGUCCCGGUGCCACCCAGAUGCCGUGACGGUCAUCCGUCACUGGGUGACCAUUAUCCAGUCCCGCUGGGAAGAGGUGUCCCUCUGGGCACGCCAACGUGAGCAGAAACUGGCCGAGCACCUGCGCUCGCUGCGCGAUGUGCUCGAGCUGCUUGAGGAACUGAUGCGCUGGCUGCUGGCAGCUGAGGCCAGCCUCAUGACCUUGGAGGCCCAACCACUACCAGAUGACGUGGCCGCCACAGAACGCCUUCUCGAUGACCACCGGCGCUUCAUGGAUGACAUGUCCCAGCGGCAGGCCGACGUGGAUCGUAUCUCUAAGGCCUUUGCCAGUAAACGCCAGCCGGCCGCUGGCUCGGCUGCAGCUGGUGGAACAAAGGACCGCCCAUCGCAGCAACGACAUGACCGACGCACGCCCCACGCAGCUUCUCAGAGUACGCCCCGGACAUCCACGCCCACGCGUGGGCAUGCUGCUGCAGAGCCUGAGAUCCGGCACCCCCGUGCACGGGAGCUGGUGGAGAAGUGGCAGCACGUCUGGCUGCUGGCCAUGGAACGCCAGCGCCGACUGCUGGAACAUCUCAAGUACCUGCAGGAGUUGGAGAGCAUCAAGAACUUCGACUUUGAUGAGUGGCGCAGGAGGUUCCUGGGCUGGAUGAACAACAAGAAGUCUCGUGUGAUGGACCUGUUCCGCAAGAUCGACAAAGACAAUGACGGGAAAGUGACCAAGGAGGAGUUCAUUGAAGGAAUCCUCAAGUCGAAAUUCCCGACGAGCAGACUCGAGAUGGAAAGGGUGGCCGACAUCUUUGACCGAAAUGGCGAUGGCUACAUUGACCACAAGGAGUACAUUGACACCCUUCGUCCUGAUCGAGAUUGCUUGGUUCAUGGUGCGAAGCAGAACAAGCCCCUUACGGAGGCCGAGAAAAUCCAGGAUGAAGUUCAGCGACAAGUUGCCAAGUGCACCUGCGUCCACCGCUUCAAAGUGUUCCAAGUGGGCGAGGGCAAAUACCGGUUUGGUGAAUCUCAGAAGCUGCGCCUGGUGCGCAUCCUGCGUAGCACAGUCAUGGUGCGUGUAGGCGGUGGCUGGGUGGCCCUCGACGAAUUCCUCGUCAAAAACGAUCCCUGCCGAGCCAAGGGGCGCACCAACCUGGAGCUGCGCGAACAGUUCAUUCUGGCCGAGGGCGUCAGCCAGUCCAUGACGCCCUUCAAGCCCAAGACCUUCUCGCGGGCAGGACCCAUCACCAAGCAGCUCCAUUCCAGUCCAUGAUGCCGUGCCUGCCAGUGCAGGGCUUCAGUCCGUCCUUUUACCGACCUGUGCCGGCUGAAGAGGGCUCUAAGAUUCCCGUCUACGACUGGGUGCGAGAAAAGACGGAACGCAGCGUCCCCCUGAGCCAGCAGCAGCAGCAACAGCGCAUUGUCGCCGACGACGAGCUCAGUGACGGCUCAGGCCAGCUGCGGGUCACCCGCCUUG